AUUGAACGCUGGCGGCAGGCCUAACACAUGCAAGUCGAACGCGUGGCGGACGGGUGGUCAAUGUAUGGGGAACUGGCAGAUGGAGGCGGCUACCUACUGGAAACGGUGACCAAUCCCGCCUACUAUCGGAUGAGCCCUUAUGGGAUUAGCUAGGAGGUGGGGUAAAGGCGCACCUAGGCGACGAUCCCUAGCUGGUCUGAGAGGAUGCCCAGCCACACUGGAACUGAGAAACGGUCCAGACUCCUACGGGAGGCAGCAGUGGGGAAUAGUGGACAAUGGGCGAAAGCCUGAUGCAGCCAUGCCGCGUGUAUGAAGAAGGCCUUAGGGUUGUAAAGUACUUUUAGCGGGGAGGCGUUACUCGCAGAAGAAGCACCGGCUAACUCCGUGCCAGCAGCCGCGGUAAUAC
rnacentral:rRNA from 1 species